rnacentral:rRNA from 1 species
GACGAACGCUGGCGGCGUGCCUAAUACAUGCAAGUAGAACGCUGAAGAGAGGAGCUUGCUCUUCUUGGAUGAGUUGCGAACGGGUGAGUAACGCGUAGGUAACCUGCCUUGUAGCGGGGGAUAACUAUUGGAAACGAUAGCUAAUACCGCAUAACAAUGGAUGACACAUGUCAUUUAUUUGAAAGGGGCAAUUGCUCCACUACAAGAUGGACCUGCGUUGUAUUAGCUAGUAGGUGAGGUAAUGGCUCACCUAGGCGACGAUACAUAGCCGACCUGAGCGGGUGAUCGGCCACACUGGGACUGAGACACGGCCCAGACUCCUACGGGAGGCAGCAGUAGGGAAUCUUCGGCAAUGGGGGCAACCCUGACCGAGCAACGCCGCGUGAGUGAAGAAGGUUUUCGGAUCGUAAAGCUCUGUUGUAAGUCAAGAACGGGUGUGAGAGUGGAAAGUUCACACUGUGACGGUAGCUUACCAGAAAGGGACGGCUAACUACGUG